UACCACGUGGAAGGUGACAGUUUGUUUAAUGACUCUGUUUAUCAGCCACGAUACGAAGAUUAAAGCACCAAGUUUGGCAAAUAAAGAAACCAGACCACAUACGCCAGCCGCACUCAUUUAGGAGCGCCUGUGUGCCGACUCCCCUGCUCGUGUGGUGAAGGUGUUAUGUCGCCUAGCAGGAGCAGAGCGCUGCACACGCCUGCCACGCAGCUGUAAAUAGCGGGGGCUCGCCGGGCUCAGGGUCAAUGUGUCUGUGCACAGCCCACCUUUCAUGCUUCCGCUCUGCGCUCAAAGCAGAAGUACCAGGCAGCGAGGAAGAGAAAGCUGAGAACGUACCCAUGAGCUGAUGUCCACCUCACGCUCCGCUGCAUGGGCUUUUCCUCUCAUCCAGCACUCAUACGCACUUGCUACGUCAUGUUCCAUUAUGACUUUAUAGCACGUGGCUCCACAUUUCCACUGACAACUGGGGGGAUCUAUGAAGAUUGGCCUCUUUCCGUUGGGCGUGCUUGCUGUAUAAGCUACUGCAGUUCGUCUCUCUCCGCACUGAAUGGCACGUGACCCUGACAGUGAGGUCCCUGUGAUGCUCGUCCACUGGUGAAACUGCUGAGCAGCUGGAGGAGCAAGGGCAUUUUGUUUGCCCCAUGCUGUGGAAGGAAGGCUUAAUUCUUAGUUACAGCGCCUGAAUUGAAACCAUGUAUGCAUUUUUGUUGGUUUUGCUAAACUCAACGGUUGUGCCAAUGAUAGAUCUCUCUCAAAACAGGAAAUUGUUUCCACUGUGUGUGUUGUUCACGAAAAUGUGUGCACCCGUAAGAAUUCCCUGCAUUUCCCUCUUCAGGAUAUAACGUCAGUCAUUUCAGCACCCCUAAAAGUGAAAUAACUCCCUGUUGGGAUGACUCUUAGCCAGACUGAUGUAUAUCUGAUCACUCCCACAGUCUGCUGUGAGGAAUAAGUGAAUCAUCUUCCUUCACGCUGAGUGCUGGCACCUCACAGAAUUUCUCUGGGACUCUUCAAAGCACAAAAAACAGCACAAGCCAG